rnacentral:rRNA from 1 species
UGCCUUGUGCGGCGAGUGAGCGGCAAAAGCUCAAAUUUGAAAUCUGGCUCUUUCAGAGUCCGAGUUGUAAUUUGAAGAAGGUAUCUUUGGGUCUGGCUCUUGUCUAUGUUUCUUGGAACAGAACGUCACAGAGGGUGAGAAUCCCGUGCGAUGAGAUGAUCCAGGCCUAUGUAAAGUUCCUUCGAAGAGUCGAGUUGUUUGGGAAUGCAGCUCUAAGUGGGUGGUAAAUUCCAUCUAAAGCUAAAUAUUGGCGAGAGACCGAUAGCGAACAAGUACAGUGAUGGAAAGAUGAAAAGAACUUUGAAAAGAGAGUGAAAAAGUACGUGAAAUUGUUGAAAGGGAAGGGCUUGAGAUCAGACUUGGUAUUUUGUAUGUUACUUCUUCGGGGGUGGCCUCUACAGUUUAUCGGGCCAGCAUCAGUUUGGGCGGUAGGAGAAUUGCGUUGGAAUGUGGCACGGCUUCGGUUGUGUGUUAUAGCCUUCGUCGAUACUGCCAGCCUAGACUGAGGACUGCGGUUUAUACCUAGGAUGUUGGCAUAAUGAUCUUAAGUCGCCCGUCUUGAACCACGGAACCCAA